AACAUCUCAUUCUUCAUGGGGAUUUUCUCAUUGCUAGGCACAUAUGUAAACAAAGGAAUAGUUUUAUUUUCCAACCAAGUAGACCCUCUUUACAUUCUGGAAACAAGGAUUGUAAGAAGUAACCCUGUUCUUCUAUAGGGUUAAUAUGGAAACAAAGGAAUGGUCUUAUUUUCCAACAAAGAUUGAUUUUUUAAUUAGUUUGCUCUCAAUCAAUCUGCUUCAACCUCCUUGUGGUCUUGUAUACUCCCUAUAUUCCACAAUGUUGGUCCAUGGCCUUGGGAGAAAACAUUUCACAAUGUUUAUUGUCCAUUGGGAAUAUAACUAUAGUGUAGUUAUUGCAAUAUUUAACUCACUAACCCAAAUUAAAUGCUUUGAAAGAAGAAAAGGGAUUGUAUCAUAUGGAUAUUGAUUUCACAUUAACUUUUACUUGAAACUAGUACUUAGUCCGCAUGGUUUACUAUGGACAGAUUAUUCCAGAAUGAAGGGAGAAGCUUAUUUUCUUGUUAAGAUUGUCCACCGUUCUUUUUACAGAACAUGUGAUUUUGCAAAAGUACAGUGGCAUAUAAGGAACUUGCAUAAAAGAAAAAUUAAAAGAAAACUCAUACUUUUAGGAAUAUGCAUGUAUAUGCUCAGCGCGUCAGAAUGCCUUGAGAUUCCAUGGGAAUGAUAUUGCAACAAAUAUAAGAUAAGAGCGCACUAAAACUGAGGCAUGUAUGAUGGGGGUUACUGUACAUGCACACACAUGGUGAAAAUGACAUUGAUGAAACCUUCACAUAAAGCGUGUGUAUUACCUCAGUCAUGCUGAUUGUGAAUACAUAAUAAGUUGGUUGCAACACCAUGGCUUGGUCAAGUGCCUAACCUUAUUUUAGCAAAAAUAACUUGGAUAUUCUCUAACGUUGGCCACUUCCGAAUUUGUCAAAAUCAGGAUAUAAUCCAUUUGAACAAAAGGUUAAUUGCCAGCGAUCAUGUGGUAACAUCAGUGUCCCGUUCCCUUUUGGCUUAGAAGAAGGUUGUUUUGCAAGGAAGCUAUUUCAUCUCAACUGCACAAAUGCGACAUCUUCCAGUCUCCAGUUUGAUGAUGAACAUCAGGUGGCAUAUAUAAACAUCAAUGAAGGGCUUGUAGGCAUUAAGUACAGAUCAAUUUAUGAACAGGAGUUGUUUAGGGUGUAUAUACCUAAGCAACCUGGUCUCUAUAUUGGUUCAGGGGAAUCAUCCUCUGUGCAAUGGGCCGUUGCCAAUCUGACCUGCAAGGAGGCAAAGCAGAACUACUCAGGAUAUGCAUGUGUUAGCAUCCAUAGCAUAUGUUUGGGCGUAAACUCAACAGAAGGUUACAUUGGUUAUCGAUGCAAAUGUAUGUCUGGCUUUCAAGGAAAUCCAUACGUACAGAAUGGCUGCCAAGGUUCGAUCUCCCUCUGCCUUGUGUUUUGGAUAUCCUAACCAUUUUGGUUUAACAAUUGAUUGCAUUCUGGAGAGUACAAACACACACAGUGCACAUACGUUUUAUGUCAUUGAGAUCCUAGCCAUUUUAGUUCAACAACUGAUUGCAUUUCGGAGAGUACCCAUAGCUAAAACAGCAGGGAGUGAAUUAGAUUGUCCAAUUCAGUUUCAAUUUCUCAAAACAUAUCGGUAUCAGCCUGUUAGCUUCUGCUUAUUUGCAGCAGCUUGUGCUGCAGCUGCACAGCAAGCUGCUCGGGUGCAAGUGCUGCACGCUUCUGCCCAGCUGCAGAUGCUGGACAUGUUGUUGGCUUGCUGCAGUUGCAGCUGCUGCAGGUUCAAUAUUGGAAGUUUAUGCUUUAAAGUUGUAAUUUUUUGGAUAUCUUCGUUUUCAUUUGUUCUUUUGGAAACUGCACUUUAUUCUGCAUGAAUAAAAGUUCUGACUCCAUGCCUCAAAAUUGACAACCCUCCUUGCAUGUCAGAACUUUGAAUCUUUUAGGCCAUCUGGAGAGCAGAAUCCUGCCCUGUAUUUUCAUUUUUUGGCAGAUUUCAGUGAACAAUGAUGGGGACCAUCGCAAGUUAACCACUGACCAGACUGAAGUCAAUACACUGGUGACCUAAACUUUAAAUAUUUACAACUGAUUUAUGUUUGGAACAACUUUAUAACCGCACGUUUCCAUUUUUUUAACUUUGCCUCAUUGGCCUGCUUUGACCAAGUCAACACAGUCGCCCCUAGUUUUGUGUACUUUGAUGGCAAAAAGUGGCUAAACCAGGGGCAAUGGUGACUGAAUGGAGGGUAACCAUGCACUUAGAGAUCAAAGUGCGGAAUAAUUGCAAAUGACCCUUUAUAUUUUUGGAACUGAAUGGUGUCUCUCCCUGCUGUGUUACUGGCUUAGUUUCUCCUCUAAAAAUUAGGAUUUGUCUGCACUUCAGUGACAUAAAUCUGUGGCUAAACUGAAAUUCACUCUGGACUACCGGUGAGAAAAAAAGAAUACUUUUCAAACCAUAUUCCUAUAUGAAGAUUCUCUUGGCCCCAAAUGUGGGAUCUCUUUUGGUCGAGGUCACCUAAGAUCCUGGAGUGUGGCACAAUUGCAACUUAGUUUAGCUUCUUGGGUGUGUGGAGUGUGUCCUGAAGAGGUCUCUUGGCCUCUCCUUUGUACAUAUUUCUCUCCCUUCUUAAUGAAAUGAUACACAGUUCUCCUGCGUUGUUCGAGGAAAAAAAGUGGGAUCUUCCGUAUCCUUCUUUGUUUCUCCACCAAGAAAUCCAAUAGCCAAGUUUUCUACAUCACAAAAUGGGUUCUGAGAAUCUAACUAUAGCUAUUCUAAGUUCAGGCGGAUUAGAAAAAAUUCCAACUUUUCUCUCCUCUCCAAUUGGCAUGGACAGUUAUAGAUUUUCAAAUUAACAUAGAAAUUUAUAUUCCUCCAAAGCAAACAUGAAGUUUCUAUAUUCGGUAUUAGCUUCGCUUUGUAAAUUUCCCUCACCUAACUAAAAUGUGGUUGCAGAUAUUGAUGAGUGUCUCACACCAGGAAUAUGCAGAGGAGUAUGCCAAAAUACUGUAGGAGGAUACUAUUGCACCAGUUGCCCAGACAAAACACAGUAUGAUACUACGAUAAUGCAUUGCACUCCAAUAAAACGGCAAAAUCUUCUAUUAGGUGAGCUUUAUUAAACAGUAAUUUGACAACUAAGAUGGAGAAGAUAAUUAAAGCAGAAACAGACUAAGGAGCGUAAUUGUUGCAGGUAUUGUCAUUGGGCUUAGUGGUGGCUUCAGCAUUCUACUUCUCAGCUUAAGUGCAUCAGUGCUUGUUCGCAGAUGGAAAAGGGACAUCCAAAAGCAACUACGAAGGAAGUAUUUUGAAAAAAAUCAAGGACUUCUCCUAGAACAACUAAUAUUGUCAGAUGAAAAUGCAACCGACAAGACAAAGAUUUUCACUUUGGAAGAGCUGGAAAAAGCAACAAAUAACUUCGAUCCUACACGAAUACUUGGUCGUGGAGGGCAUGGCAUGGUGUACAAAGGCAUAUUAUUGGACCAACGUGUUGUUGCAAUUAAAAGGUCUAAGGUAAUUGAGGACAAUGAGAUCAGUCAAUUCAUUAAUGAGGUCGCAAUUCUCUCUCAAAUAAAUCAUCGGAAUAUUGUAAAGCUCUUUGGAUGUUGUCUAGAAACAGAGGUUCCACUACUGGUGUAUGACUUUGUUCCCAAUGGCUCAUUAUUUGGAAUUCUACAUUCUGGUUCAAGUAGUAGUUUCUCUUUGUCAUGGGAUGACUGCCUAAGAAUUGCUGCAGAAGCUGCAGGAGCUCUUUACUAUCUCCACUCGGCAGCCUCUGUAUCAGUCUUCCAUCGUGAUGUGAAGUCCUCUAAUAUACUGUUAGAUUCCAACUAUACUGCAAAAGUUUCGGACUUUGGUGCUUCUAGAUUGGUUCCUAUUGAUCAAACUCAUGUUGUUACAAAUGUCCAAGGCACGUUUGGAUACUUAGACCCAGAGUAUUACCAUACUGGGCAGCUAAAUGAUAAGAGUGAUGUAUAUAGUUUUGGUGUGGUACUUGUGGAACUGCUUCUUAGAAGGGAGCCUAUUUUUACAAAUGAGACAGGGUCAAAGCAGAACUUGUCUAAUUACUUUCUUUGGGAGCUAAAGUCAAGGCCAAUUAAAGAGAUAGUGGCUACUCAGGUUUGUGAAGAAGCAACCGAGGAAGAGAUUAACAGUGUUGCCUCUCUUGCGGAGAUGUGCUUGCGACUCAACAGUGGAGAGAGACCUACGAUGAAGCAAGUCGAGAUGAAUCUGCAGUUCUUGCGAACAAAAAGAUCAAACUCCUGCCAUGUUGUUCAAGAUAACUCUGAAUCUGAAGAGAUGCAACCAUUGCUAUGUACAAGAGCUGAAUCUAGAUAUGAGACAUUUGAUAUUAGCUUGGGUGAAAGUUCUAGUUCAAAGUCUCGCUACAGCCAAAGAUUGGGUGAAAGUUCUUGUAGCUUGGAGCAUGAUUUCGGAUCAUUUUUUGGGGUAUCACGCUAAGGAUCUCUUGUCAGCGUCAGAACUCCAUAGAACAUCACAAGAAGAUUUUUGUGAGAGUGAAUGUUUCUUUUCCUACAAGUGCUAUCGAAAUAAUGUGUUGUACCCAGGCAUGUACCUGAACAUCUUAUUGCGGAGAAGAUGAUGGAUUCCUCAUUUCCUCUACAGUUUCUUAUUUUAUACAAUAUCAUACAGCAGUAUGUAGUGCCUCAAAUUGGAAUUACACUGAUCUGUCAUUUGUACUUGGAUUCUUGCAGUUCAUAACUUGCGUAUAUAUAUGUAAACUUUUUGCUGCAUAUUGGAUAUGUGAAGAGUUAUUUUAGGUAUAAUGUAUUUGUGCACAAAAAUUCAAAUAACAGAACAAAUGCACUAUCUGUUCCGUCAUUGAUUUUCAGAUUAGACAUGAAACCAGAUCUCUCGGCAAAUCAACAAGUUCCAGGAAUCUAAACUGAGUACUAGGUUAUUCUAGCGCAUAAAAUGUUGCCCAAGUGGGAUAGUAUACAUGUUUAUGUCACUAAUUCGUUGCCACCAAAGAUACAUAUAUGUAAUCCACAGUUUGUGACCCACUGCUUGGAGGCAAAUAAUCUGAAAGGACCAUACCUAUAUCCGAGCCACAAACAGAAGGAAGCAGCACACCGAUGGGUCAUGGGCUCAUGGCCACACCAUGCCCUACGGAUAACGGAUGCAACCCAUGGACGGCGGCGGCGGUCAGUAAUCGGCAACGUUCACAAAGAGCUGAUCUGCAAAAUUUGUCACAAAAUAGCUAUAAACCAAGAGAUUAAGUAAGAGGGAAGCAAUGACGCAUACUCGAAGACGACCUACCAACCAAAAUGGGGAACAGCUCGGCAGGAAGGCAGCGGCCAGCACUGAGCCGGCGGCGCUCGCGGAGAGGCUGCGUCGGGCCACAUCCGCCGCGGCGACCCCGAUACAGGAACGAACGUCCUCUCCAGCCGGAGAGAGAGUGCAAGCGCGGGAGGGACGGAGGGGCAACGCGAUGGCAGCCGCCGGCGAGGACCGGGUGCGGAUCGGCUCCCGGGCGGUGAAUCCGGUUGCUAGCCAACGGGCAAGCCGAAGAGGAUAACGAAUGGGCCGUGGCUA
rnacentral:lncRNA from 1 species